AAAAAAUUCUGAAAAGACGUAAUGUCCCUUUGGAGUGCUAAUGUGGUUUGCAUUCAAAGAGGAAGUCAUUUUUGAUUAACCAGGAGAGUGGUGAAGUUGAGAGAGUGAUGGGACAUGGGUGACAACUGGAUUAGAACAAGUACGUCAGGAAUUGUGUCCAAGACUAUUCCUAGCAGCUGCCCCUCUCUGAUCACCAACCAUGAAGAUCCAAUCUGAUUUUUAAAGAAAUAUGUAGACCAUUCUCAAGUAUGCACUGGAUGAAGAUAAGAGCCUGUCUUAUAAGCAUGAGCACAACAAUGUCAAAAGAUGUUUCAGAUCAAGCAGAGUGAUUUCCUAUGUGUAUUAGACAACUGAAGGAAUAUAUUAGUCACCCCACCCUCUUUUUACUCCUGGAAUGAAUUCCUGUUGUUCACAUUGCUAAGGUGUUAAGUUUGCUUGUGGAUUAUAGCUGUGUAGGAACUGAUUUUGAAAACAAAAACUGAAUCCUAUUUAUUCAUUGCCAUGUUUUGACUUUACAUACCUCAUCUCCAUCCUUCUGUCCACCUUAUUACCUUUCUUUGAACUGCCCCAGCUCAGACAUCUGGAAAAGCUUUCCCUGAGUAAAGUAGUGACUUAAUGUCAUGGCUUCCACAGGCCUGUAUUUCCAAAAA
ensembl:lncRNA